AUUGAACGCUGGCGGCAGGCCUAACACAUGCAAGUCGAGCGGAGCGGCGGUCGGGUGAGCAAUGCCUAGGACUCUGCCUGUGAGCGGGGGAUAACGACCGCUACUGGGCGCUAAUACCGCACACUAUCAGCCGCGCCGAGGUCUGAUUAGCUAGUUGGUUGGGUAAAGGCCUCCAAAGGCUACGAUCCGGAACCGGUCUGCGAGGAUGAUCAGUCCCACUGCAACUGAGACACGGUCCCGACUCCUAGGGGAGGCAGCAGUGGGGAAUAUUGGACAAUGGGCGAAAGCCUGAUCCAGCCAUGCCGCGUGUGUGAAGAAGGUCUUCGGAUUGUAAAGCACUUUAAGUUGGGCGGCGUUACCAGCUGGAUAAGCACCGGCUAACUUCGUGCCAGCAGCCGCGGUAAUUC
rnacentral:rRNA from 1 species